GCCUGCAUAAACAUCCUAAAAGCACCAGAUUCUUUCUGAUCUUAGAAGCUAAGAAGGAUCAGCCCUGGUCAAUACUUGGAUAGAAGAUAGCCAUGGAAUACAAGGCGCUGUAGGCU
rnacentral:rRNA from 1 species